GGUCAAUGAUGAGGCUUGGAAUUUUUAUCUGAAUCUACCAUUGAUGUGGUUUUAACACUUAGCUCUAGAAUUACUCUGAGACCUG